AUAUUUUUCUUUCAUAUUGUUUACGGCGACGUAUUACCGCCAAUUAUACACUUCAAAUAUUCAGAAAAAAAUAUAUGUAUACAUUAGUGAUAUAUUUAUCUUAAAGACGGGUACAUAUGUGUUGUUUAUUAUUUCAUAUCUUAGGUUUACAUAUAUAAUGUACAUGUAUAUUUUGGGUUUAUUUUUCUUCCUACAUUUUACACUCUCUGAGUCUGAUUAAUAUUGUAGAAUUUUUAUUUAAUAUGUGAUAUCAUUUUCUCUUUUGUAUGAGACUCGAUGGCAUUAUUUGUUCCAUGCGAAUUGUCGAUGUGCUUUAAAACAGUUAAUGUCAGAUAUAGCUAUAAUUGCAAAAAUACAUGAUUGUACAUUAUUUUAUAAAUUCUGAAUACUUUUAGCAUGCAUUGUAUAUUAAACUAUGAUAUUAGUUUAACGCUUAUCACUAAAAAUGAUUAUACUGCUUUUGAAUCAAAUAAACUAAAUAAAUUUG
rnacentral:sRNA from 1 species